UGUUAAUAAAAAUCGGUGCGUUGCAAUUUUUGUGAUGUUCCGGAGUUUGAGUUAUCUUAUCUUCUGGGUUUAAGAGGCUUAAAAUUGACCUUCUUUGUGCAUUUUAGACGUACAUAAAUUUUUUUUUAUUCGUUUAUCUUAAUGCCAAAAUCUAUUAGAUGCGACCAUAUCGUGUGGUUCCGUGUCUAUAAAUUUUUCAUG
rnacentral:misc_RNA from 1 species